GAAGUUAACCCAUUAAAGCACUCCGCCCUGGGGGAGUACGACCGCAAGGUUGAAACUCAAAAGGAAUUUACGGGGGGCCGCACAAGUAGUGGAGCAUGUGUUUUAAUUCGUAGCAACGCGAAGAACCUUACCAGGUCUUGACAUCCUCUGACAAUCCUGGAGACAGGACGUUCCCCUUCGGGGGACAGAGUGACAGGUGGUGCAUGGUUGUCGUCAGCUCGUGUCGUGAGAUGUUGGGUUAAGUCCCGCAACGAGCGCAACCCUUGAUCUUAGUUGCCAGCAUUCAGUUGGGCACUCUAAGGUGACUGCCGGUGACAAACCGGAGGAAGGUGGGGAUGACGUCAAAUCAUCAUGCCCCUUAUGACCUGGGCUACACACGUGCUACAAUGGACGGUACAAAGGGCAGCAACACCGCGAGGUGAAGCAAAUCCCAUAAAGCCGUUCUCAGUUCGGAUUGCAGGCUGCAACUCGCCUGCAUGAAGCCGGAAUUGCUAGUAAUCGCGGAUCAGCAUGCCGCGGUGAAU
rnacentral:rRNA from 1 species